GCCCUCUUAGCUCAGGGGAUAGAGCGUCUGCCUCCGGAGCAGAAAGCCGCAGGUUCGAAUCCUGUAGAGGGCA
rfam:Eggerthella sp. CAG:298, WGS project CBHI01000000 data, contig: 50